CGAACUCCGAAACCUCCUCCAACCCCAACAUUUGUUAGUCUGUAUUUGUUUCUUCUCAAGCUAUUUUUUCCUACAUUGUGUACUACAGGUGAUCUGUCAGUGCCAAGCCUUAGUUCUCCGUCGUCAACAGGAAGCAAGCACAGGACGGUCCUGGGAAAGCCUGACAAAGAGGAAGCUUGGCUUUUCCUCAGUCAGAUUUCAACACUUCCCUCGCAGGUUACCUCAUACUUACAGGCCUGCUUAAUUACAACUGAAAUCUGAAUUAAAAAAACCAAAAACCAAAAAACUGCCCAGGUUCUUAUUUUACUUUCCAUAGCUAAUCUUUUCUUAAGCCUUUGUGGUAUAAUGGGGUUUUCUUCAGCUAUGAGGAAAAAUGGAAUUAUGUUGCUUGUAGAAAAUGGAUGGUUCUGAAGACUAUCUUUUGGAAAACAAGCACUUCAGAAGGACUGAACCCAGGACCUCAGAGCGGUGACAUGGUGACAUGUGAUUAGUCUGCUUCUUGACUGCCAGCCUGGUUUUAGGCUUCUGCUGACGGGCCUUCCCCUCACCAGUGGACUUUACAUCUUGUGGAAUUGUAUGCUAGAAAAAAAAUGCUUCUCCCCAAAUUCUCUGGUGGUUAGAGCACAUUAUCACAACAGAACGAGGAAGAGAGACACAUCUGCUGACAGACAGUAUGAGCUCAAGGUAGACUUUGCUCCCUGGAGCCAAAAUGAUCCCGUGUACCCCAAGCUGGCCUCGGACCCACUGUGUAGCUGAGAACGGCUGAGAAGUUUUGAUCUUCUGCCUCCACCUCCUGAGCGACGUGAUUACGGUUGAGUGACAUCGGUCCUGGUUUAUGCAGUACCGGAGGUCAAGCCUGGGCUUUGGGCUUGGUGGAUAAACACUCGGCCUACUGAGCUACAUCCACACCCACCCUUAGCAAUUUGGAUGAGUUAAAUUCUCUGUGGGACAAUGAGGAUGUUGUCACUUAUGGACCUUAGGUAAGACCUUCAGGUCAUUGCUUGCAGAGCAAUGAAGUUACAGUGCCUGACCACACGACGGUGGUACUGUUGAGAAGUCAGAGAAAGUCCAAAAGAGGGACAAGAGCAAGACACCUAUCGUACAGAAUAACAGAAUAGUAACCACACCUGCAAUGGAAAUGGCCAGAAACAUAAUUACAGGAUGAACAAAACAACUGAUCUGGAGGUGCCCUCGAACCGCUCUCAGAAAAAUUAACCUGACUCCAAUCACACAUAGUGACCUCCAUUAGUCAGAUAAUGGGGCCACAAACAGGUUGUGUGACUUCACUUCCUGGCCAAUUACUCAAGCCCACUUCCCCCAACAGGAACCGGACAGAACUAAAUGUUUUUAAGGCAUCAGUCAGCAGGUGUCUGGAACAACAGCCCUUCAGAAUCUCUCUGUCCUCAUGUCCCUUGUGGGGAAGAUAGCCCGCAGGUGAGGGCCUCUCCAAAGUAGAGACAGGAUCGGUUUAGUUUCCUGAUGUGGAGGAUUACCAUACACAGGAAAGGGAUGUGGUGUGGUAUUUUAUUAGGGAGAAAUCACUUAUGUGAGAACCCGAGAGCUGAGGUUAGCACUCUGCUGGUCUCCGACCCCCAAGAGAAAAAGUGACCCCUCCUUCUUUGACCUUUUGAAAGACCCCUACCCAGGGCCCCCUAGGAAAAGAAAAACAAGGCCAGGCUGUUGCCUAAUGAAAAAACCCAGACCAGGUGCCUCGCCCAGCUGGCAGGAUG